rnacentral:rRNA from 1 species
UACGAAGGGGGCUAGCGUUGCUCGGAAUCACUGGGCGUAAAGGGUGCGUAGGCGGGGCUUUAAGUCAGGGGUGAAAUCCUGGAGCUCAACUCCAGAACUGCCUUUGAUACUGAAGAUCUUGAGUUCGGGAGAGGUGAGUGGAACUGCGAGUGUAGAGGUGAAAUUCGUAGAUAUUCGCAAGAACACCAGUGGCGAAGGCGGCUCACUGGCCCGAUACUGACGCUGAGGCACGAAAGCGUGGGGAGCAAACGGG